rnacentral:rRNA from 1 species
UUUGAUCUUGGUUCAGGACGAACGCUGGCGGCGUGCCUAACACAUGCAAGUCGAACGGAGUUAAUGAUUUCGGUUGUUAACUUAGUGGCGAACGGGUGAGUAACGCGUGAACAACCUGACCCAAAGAGGGGGAUAACAUUUGGAAACAGAUGCUAAUACCGCAUAAGACCACAACGUCACAUGGCGAAGGGGUCAAAGGAGCAAUCCGCUUUGGGAGGGGUUCGCGUCCCAUUAGGUAGAUGGCGGGGUAACGGCCCACCAUGCCAACGAUGGGUAGCCGAGCUGAGAGGCUGAUCGGCCACACUGGAACUGAGACACGGUCCAGACUCCUACGGGAGGCAGCAGUGGGGAAUAUUGGGCAAUGGGCGCAAGCCCUGACCCAGCAACGCCGCGUGAGGGAAGAAGGUUUUCGGAUUGUAAACCUCUGUCGCAGAAGACGAAGGAAGUGACGGUAUUCUGUGAGGAAGCCCCGGCUAACUACGUGCCAGCAGCCGC